rnacentral:rRNA from 1 species
UACGUAGGGGGCUAGCGUUGUCCGGAAUCAUUGGGCGUAAAGCGCGUGUAGGCGGCCCGGUAAGUCCGCUGUGAAAGUCGGGGGCUCAACCCUCGAAUGCCGGUGGAUACUGUCGGGCUCGAGUACGGGAGAGGCGAGUGGAAUUCCUGGUGUAGCGGUGAAAUGCGCAGAUAUCAGGAGGAACACCGAUUGCGAAGGCAGCUCGCUGGAACGUUACUGACGCUGAGACGCGAAAGCGUGGGGAUCAAACAGG